UAAUUUUUGGGUCUAAAGUUAAAGUACAAUUGUUUGAGUGACGCUUUCAUACUAGUGGAUCGGGGCGUUAAAAUAACAGAUAAAUAGCAUCGGUAGCCACGACUAUGGUGAGCUCUCUUAAUGAUCGUCGAGAAAGCCCAAAUUGCUAUAAUUUUCAAGAAAUGCCUGCGUGAACUAUUCUGGCCACAGAAGAAGUGUUGGAUACAGCUCACAUUUACCGUUAGACUGUGUCGAACUUGGGACAAUUGUCGAACUUGGGACAAUUGGACCACUUUUAGACCUAUAGUCAUGGGGCACUUCUUUAGAAGCGAG
rnacentral:lncRNA from 1 species